UAUGGUGCAAGCGAUAUCCGGAUUUACUGGGAUGUAAAGGGAGCGCAAGCGGAAGGCUAAGUCUGAUGUGAAAGCCCGGGACUCACCCCCGGUACUGCAUUGGAAACUGGUCAUCUAUAGUGUCCGAGGGGUAAGUGGAAUUCCUAGUGUAGCGGUGAAAUGCGUAGAUAUUAGGAGAGACAUCAGUGCACGACGGCGACUUAGUGGACGAUAACUGACGCUGAGACUCGAAAGCGUGGCGAGCAAACAGGAUAUGAUACCAGUGGUAGUACACGCUGUAAUCGAUGACAUAUUAGGAGUCGGGAAGCACAGUUUUUGGGCGACGCUAGCAAACGCAUUAAGUAUUCCACAUGGUGAGUACGUUGGCAAGAAUGAAAAUCAAAGGAAUUGACGGGGACCCGCACAAGCGGUGGCAGACGUGUGGUAUAAUUUGAAGCAACGCGAAGAUCCUUAACAAGUCUUGACAUCGUUCUGACGCGACAGUAAUGUGUCCUUUCCUUCGGGACAGACAGUGACAGGUGGUGCAUGGUUGUCGUCAGUCUCGUGUCGUGAGAUGUUGGAUUAAUUCCCGCAACGAGCGCAACCGUUAUCCCCAGUAGCCAGCAUUUUAGAUGGGCACUCUGAGGAGACCGCCAGGGAUAACAUGGAGGAAGGUGGGGAAGACGUCAAAUCAUCAUGCUCAUUAUGACCUGGGCUUCACACGUGAUACAAUGGUGUAAACAAAGGGAAGCAAGACCGUGAGGUGGAGCAAAUCCCAAAAAUAACGUAUCAGUUUGGAAUGUAGUAUGCAACCCGACUACACGAAGCUGGAAUCGCUAGUAAUCGCAGAUCAGAAUGUUGCGCAGAAUACGUUCCCGGGUUUUGUACACACCGCCCGUCACACCAUGGGAGUCGGAAAAGCCGGAAGUCAGUGAACCAACCGCAAGGAGGGAUCUGCCGAAGGCAGGUUCGAUAACUGGGGUGAAGU
rnacentral:rRNA from 1 species